rnacentral:sRNA from 1 species
ACAACACGUCCUUACUGAGCGAGCUCACUUAGCCUGAAGUUCAGCUCUUCUUUCAGAUUUAAACCUUUCCAGUUGAAAAUGAGAAACUGCCCCCCUUCUCUUCAGUCCUCAAAGUUGGAUACCCGGGGGAUCCCCAGGAUUCAGCGGAGAAAUUCUGCUGAGUCUGCCUGAACUAAGGAUUGCUCGGGGACCGGUCCUACAGGUAUCACCCGUCGUACAAAGUAACUUGAUUCUCUCCAGGCUUAAAGUGAAAAAUGAAAUAAUUUUCUCCCAUAAGGCUUUUGCCAUAGUCUAUCACCCCUGAAUAUCUCAGGCUUUAAGGGAAUCGGGAGGAAAUGAGAGCAACAAAAAGCAAACGGAAAGGGAAAAAAAUGACGGUGAGCCAGAGCGAAGACUCAGCUUGCAAAGUGCUGCCACGGAACGCAAGUAUCUGCACCCAGAUGUGAUUUAGAAACAGGCUCGGCUACUCCUGCAGCCCCCAGGGGUUGACCCUGAUUGACAUGGAUCCGUCAUAGCUGACACUGUACUCCCUGCUAAUGAUGAAGCCUAGAGAACAAACCUGUGAUCCACUUCUCCCUGGCACGACACCAGCAGAAGACCCAUGGGACUGCUGCAGAGUGAGUCUCUGGUCUUAAGCAAACACAGAAUGAGGUGGCCCCUUCUGUGCCUCUGGCAGCUAUCACAUCUGGAGGUGACUUGAAUCUGCCACAGCCUUUCCCCAACCACAAGGAAAAGAAGCUUUAGAGAGAAGCCUCACUGGCAGUGACAAGAAUGGAGACACGGAAGGACACUGGGUUCUAAAAUUAGUCAGCCUUUCCCGUGGCAAUAAACAACCCCAAUGUGUUA